GCGCGAAACCUCCGCAAUGCGAGCAAUCGCGACGGGGGGACCCCAAGUGCUACUCUUAACGGGGUAGCUUUUCUAAAGUGUAAAAAGCUUCAGGAAUAAGGGCUGGGCAAGACCGGUGCCAGCCGCCGCGGUAACACCGGCAGCUCAAGUGGUGGCCGCUUUUAUUGGGCCUAAAGCGUUCGUAGCCGGCCUGAUAAGUCUCUGGUGAAAUCCCGCAGCUUAACUGUGGGAAUUGCUGGAGAUACUAUCAGGCUUGAGGCCGGGAGAGACUGGAGGAGCUCGCAAGGUAGGGGUGCAAUCCUAGAAGACUGGGAGGACAACCUGUGGCGAAGGCGUCCAGCUGGAACGGACCUGACGGUGAGUAACGA
rnacentral:rRNA from 1 species